rnacentral:tRNA from 1 species
GCCGAAGUGGUGGAAUUUGGUAGACACGCAUGGUUGAGGGCCAUGUGAGCGUAAAUAGCUCGUAGGGGUUCGAGUCCCCUCUUCGGCA